GAUGAACGCUGACAGAAUGCUUAACACAUGCAAGUCAACUUGAACUUCGGUUUGGGUGGCGGACGGGUGAGUAACGCGUACAGAACUUGCCUCACAGAUAGGGACAACAUUUGGAAACGAAUGCUAAUACCUGAUAUUAUGAUUAUAUGGCAUCGUAUAAUUAUGAAAGCUAUAUGCGCUGUGAGAGAGCUUUGCGUCCCAUUAGCUAGUUGGAGAGGUUACGGCUCACCAAGGCGAUGAUGGGUAGCCGUCCUGAGAGGGUGAUCGGCCACAAGGGGACGGAGAAACGGCCAGUACGCAAACGGGAGGAAGAAGUGGGGAAUAUUGGAAAAAGGACCAAGAGUCUGAUACAGAAAUUCUGUGUGCAAGAUGAAGUUUUUCGGAAUGAAAAGUGCUUUCAGUUGGGAAGAAAAAAAUGACGGUACCAACAGAAGAAGUGACGGCUAAAUACGUG
rnacentral:rRNA from 1 species